AGAGUUUGAUCAUGGCUCAGGGUGAACGCUAGCGGCAGGCCUAAUACAUGCAAGUCGAACGCUCAGUAGCAAUACUGGGAGUGGCGCACGGGUGCGUAACGCGUACACAAUCUACCUCUAAGCGGGGGACACCUCCUGGAAACGGGGAUUAAUACCGCAUAAUAUGCCGAAGUCGCAUGACUUUGGUAUUAAAGCAGCAAUGCACUUAGAGAUGAGUGUGCGUCCCAUUAGGUAGUUGGUGAGGUAACGGCUCACCAAGCCUAUGAUGGGUAGCCGGUCUGAGAGGAUGGUCGGCCACACGGGCACUGAGACACGGGCCCGACUCCUACGGGAGGCAGCAGUAAGGAAUAUUGGUCAAUGGUGGAAACACUGAACCAGCCAUGCCGCGUGGAGGAAUAAGGUCCUACGGAUUGUAAACUCCUUUUGACGAGGAAGAAAAUGUUAGAUUUAUCUAAUUUUGACGGUACUCGUAGAAUAAGCACCGGCUAACUCCGUG
rnacentral:rRNA from 1 species